rnacentral:rRNA from 1 species
GGGGUGCUCGAGUGGCGAACGGGUGAGUAACACGUGAGUAACCUGCCCUUGACUUUGGGAUAACUUCAGGAAACUGGGGCUAAUACCGGAUAGGAGCUCCUGCUGCAUGGUGGGGGUUGGAAAGUUUCGGCGGUGGGGGAUGGACUCGCGGCUUAUCAGCUUGUUGGUGGGGUAGUGGCUUACCAAGGCUUUGACGGGUAGCCGGCCUGAGAGGGUGACCGGCCACAUUGGGACUGAGAUACGGCCCAG